rnacentral:rRNA from 1 species
GAUAAACGCUGGCGGCGUGCUUUAUGCAUGCAAGUCGAACGGUCUCGAUUUAUCGAGAUAGUGGCGAACGGGUGAGUAACGCGUAAGUAACCUGCCCCCAAGUAGAGGAUAACUCUGAGAAAUUGGAGCUAAUACUGUAGUGGUAAUGGAGGUAAUGCUUCAUUACUAAAGCCUUAGGGCGCUUGGGGAGGGGCUUGCGUCCGAUUAGCUAGUUGGUGGGGUAACGGCUUACCAAGGCGUUGAUCGGUAGCUGGUCUGAGAGGAUGGUCAGCCACACUGGGACUGAGAUACGGCCCAGACUCCUACGGGAGGCAGCUGCAAGGAAUAUUGUGCAAUGGGCGAAAGCCUGACACAGCGACGCCGCGUGGGGGAUGAAGGCUUUCGGGUCGUAAACCCCUUUUCUCAGGGAAGAACAAUGACGGUACCUGAGGAAUAAGUCACGGCUAACUACGUGCCAGCAGCCGCGGUAAUACGUAGGUGGCUAGCGUUAUCCGGAUUUACUGGGCGUAAAGAGGGCGUAGGCGGUCUUACAAGUCAGAUGUAAAAUCUCUCGGCUUAACCGGGAGGGAUCAUUUGAUACUGUUAGACUUGAGGGCAGCAGAAGGAGGUGGAAUUCCCGGUGUAGUGGUGAAAUGCGUAGAUAUCGGGAGGAACACCAGUGGCGAAGGCGGCCUCCUAGGCUGUUACUGACGCUGAGGCCCGAAAGCGUGGGGAGCGAACAGGAUUAGAUACCCUGGUAGUCCACGCCAUAAACGAUGGACACUGGGUAUGGGGAGUAUCGACCCUCUCCGUGCCGAAGCUAACGCGUUAAGUGUCCCGCCUGGGGACACGGCCGCAAGGCU